ACCCCCAUAGCUCAACGGAGAGAGUGCGGCGCUACGAACGCCGAGGUCGAGGUUCGAUUCCUCGUGGGGGUG
rnacentral:tRNA from 1 species